CAGGGCAGAGCUUUUCCCUGAGUCCAGAACUGACUACUCUGUGGCUUGUUUGCCUCUGUUGCUGGGAUGUUCUGUGUAGGAAGCAGGAAUCGAGCCCCACCCUUCAUGCAAGAACUAGCUACACAGGCUCACUUUCAGUUGUCAUAGAAGUCCCCCAGAAGGUCUGAAGUGACUUUCCCCCAGUGCAUACAACUGCCCCAGUGAGAACAGUGUCUGCUGUGUCUGCAACAGUGAACAAGGAAAGCAGGAGAUGACCCCCUCUCCAUGUCUUUUUCUCCUGGCUGCUGCUGUGUGAAGAAGGACAUGUUUGCUUCCCCUUCUGCCAUGAUUGUAAGAUUCCUGAGGCUUCCCCAUCCCUGAAGAAUUGUAAGUCAAUUAAACGUCUUUCCUGGCUGGGCAUGGUGGCUCAUGCCUGUAAUCAUAGCACUUUGGGGGUCCUAAGUGGGCAGAUUGCCAGAGUUCAGGAGUUCGAGACCAGCCUGGGCAACAUGAAGAAACCCCAUCUCUAUUAAAAAUACAAAAAAAUUAGACAGCAUGUGCCUGUAGUCCUAGCUACUCAGGAGGCUAAAGAAUAAGAAUUGCUUGAACCUGGGAGGCAGAGGUUGCAGUGAGGCAAGAUUGCAUACUGCACUACAGCCUGAGUGACAGAGCAAGACUGUCUCAAAAAAAAUCCUUUUUCUUUUCUCAAUUACCCAGUCUUGGUUAUGUCUUUAUUAACAGCAUAAGAAUAUAUUAAUACCUUGUCCUUCCACUUACUCUAACUGGGGAUAUAAAACUAACAUAAAGAAAUUAUCUGAGACCUCUCAAGAGUGUAACUAGGCUUUAUUGAAAGAAAGAUACACUGAGAGUUGACUUUUUUUAUCCCCUUUGGUUGAAAGAUAAAUGUUUUAGAAUCUGACAGACUUCAAUUUGAAUCCUGGCUCUGAUAUUUAUUUGCUAUAUUAUCUUAAUCUCCAGGAAUCUUACCAGGUUCUCAAAGUGAAAAUCUAGGAAAUAUCUCCUUACAUCCUACCAUGGGAGGGCAAGAGUAAUCCUUUUAAAAUACAGAGAACAUCCCUUG
rnacentral:lncRNA from 1 species